rnacentral:rRNA from 1 species
GACGAACGCUGGCGGCGUGCUUAACACAUGCAAGUCGAACGGAAAGGUCCUGCUUUUGUGGGGUGCUCGAGUGGCGAACGGGUGAGUAACACGUGAGUAACCUGCCCUUGACUUUGGGAUAACUUCAGGGAACUGGGGCUAAUACCGGAUAGGAGCUCCUGCUGCAUGGUGGGGGUUGGAAAGUUUCGGCGGUUGGGGAUGGACUCGCGGCUUAUCAGCUUGUUGGUGGGGUAGUGGCUUACCCAGGCUUUGACGGGUAGCCGGCCUGAGAGGGUGACCGGCCACAUUGGGACUGAGGGACGGCCCAGACUCCUAAGUGAGGCAGCAGUGGGGAAUAUUGCACAAUGGGCGGAAGCCUGAUGCAGCAACGCCGCGUGCGGGAUGACGGCCUUCGGGUUGUAAACCGCUUUCGCCUGUGACGAAGCGUGAGUGACGGUAAUGGGUAAAGAAGCACCGGCUAACUACGUG